CACUCCCUUCUCCUCCUACAACCUUAAAGAAAAGGUUUCCUUGCAAUUCCAAUUCCAAUUCCAACUCCAACGCCAUCACAUGUUCUCUUCAAACACUCCACUUCCCCAAAAAGUACCAACCAACCUCCACAACCACAACCACAACAACAACAACCACUCCAGCAAGAGAAACCAAACCAGUAAUCGCUUCUCCCUCCGAAACAAAACACCCAUUACCUCAAAGUUGGAACUUCUCCAGAAAGCAGCGGCU
rnacentral:lncRNA from 1 species